CAUGAACUGUGAGAUCAUGACCUGACCCCCAAGUAGGACGCUUAACCGACUGAGCCACCCAGGCACCCCUACAAGACGAUUUUUAAAGAUACUUUCAGAUUGAACCAAAGAGCUAGGAGGUGACAGUUCAGUCUCAGAUUUGGGGGCUGGGAAGCUUUGCUAAUCCCACUGCUACCCCCACCCCGCCACCCCCGCAAAACCAGAGAAAUGUAACCGUUCUACUGUGAGAGCACCCAAAGGCGGAUCUCGGAAAAUAGAGAGUCCUGGGAAGACACCAGCAGUCAGCGGGCCCCUGGGAAGGAACCUUCAGGCAAGAAGGCUUCCAGUGGUUUCCUUGCUUUCCUCCUGGGGAGGAGGAGGAGGGCAGUGGGCCAAAGCGCCGGGGCAGGCAAACUCCUGCACGUGGAGAAUGGCGUAUUCAGAGGCAAUCGUUGCAGCACUGUUUACGAUACAGAAGAUUGGGAAGAAGCACAGCAGCCUAUCAGGAGAAACUGGAAGGCAAAUUGCAGACAUCUUCAAAUGACAAACAAAAAACAGAAUGAACCACCCUAGACCCUUAUUAAGGAAACUUGCAAGCAUGUACCUGAAAAGAAAACUGAACCUAGGGGAAAAAAUCGUGAGAUUCAAGAAGAAAGAGUGAAUAAACACUGGGAAAACGAAAUAAAACCGAACAAAUUAUGACUACUCAAAACUACCUUUCCAGACCAGAAGAAGGUAGGACACACGGCCACAGAGUGCAGCAUGUGAGAUCGGAGAGGUCCUCGCCCAGGACAGACGGCAGCAGAACCACGGACGAAACCGUGAAGAAACCCGUCAGGGUUAAUGGAUACAGCUGCAUCUGUGUGAACCCGCUAGCUGGACCGUCACAACGGGAACACCCAAGAUAGGAAGGCUGGGGAAGUGCAUGGAAAGUGUUUCUACUGCUUUGCAACUUUUAAGUCCAAAGUCAAUU